rnacentral:rRNA from 1 species
GGUUUAAUUCGAAGACAACGCGAAGAACCUUACCAAGUCUUGACAUCCCGAUGACAAGCUAUGUAAUGUAGCCUCUCUUCGGAGCAUCGGUGACAGGUGGUGCAUGGUUGUCGUCAGCUCGUGUCGUGAGAUGUUGGGUUAAGUCCCGCAACGAGCGCAACCCCUGUUCUUAGUAGCCAGCGGUUCGGCCGGGCACUCUAGGGAGACUGCCAGGGAUAACCUGGA